rnacentral:rRNA from 1 species
UACGAAGGGGGCGAGCGUUGUUCGGAUUUACUGGGCGUAAAGGGCGCGCAGGCGGUUCUGUUUGUCGAGUGUGAAAGCCCCGGGCUCAACCUGGGAACUGCGCUCGAAACGGCGGAACUAGAGUUCGGGAGAGGAGAGUGGAAUUCCCAGUGUAGAGGUGAAAUUCGUAGAUAUUGGGAAGAACACCGGUGGCGAAAGCGGCGCACUGGACCACAACUGACGCUGAGGCGCGAAAGCUAGGGGAGCAAACAGG